rnacentral:lncRNA from 1 species
AUUCCUUCCAUCCUGUGUGCUGACUCAGACACUGGGUUUCCUGUGCACUCUGACUACUAAUGAGGAAAAGGACAGCCUGGCUCUUGUCACCACAGCAACAACACAGCCCCUCCCACCAUCAGGACAGAGUGACCUGGUGGGGCUGGCUGUUCGUUCUCUGUACCCACUGCAGGGCAGGAACGGCUGUUUCCAAGGCUGCAUGUAGAUGGGGACAGCAGGGUGGCUUGGGGUGUGUGUGUGAGCAAGUGACCCUCUGGUGGAAGCGAUCCUGCUCCAGCAGCCCUCUCCUUGAGUAACCCCUGGUUAAGACGGGAAGGCAGACAGGCGGGAUGCGUGCUCCUCUAAUGUCACAUUCAUCUGGACCCAGAGCAUCCUUUGAGUGGAGGGAAGGCAAACAACAGGGCAUGGGCAUCUGCAGCAGGACCAUUCUCUUCUGUAGGAGAUCUCCAGCUCUGCUGCCUAUGGGAUCACUGACCUGUGAGGGCCAGAGCUAUUUUUAAGGUUUACUGGUUGGGCUUUCCAAGAACCAGGAAAAAAACAGGCGGAGGACUGGUACCCAGUACAGUAACUGGUUACAGGUGUUGAAACCUGUGGAGCAGGGAUGGCCUAAGGUCCACCUUCUAACAGGCUGGGAGCGGGGACAGGGCAGGUAGACAAGGGCCAGAAGCCAUGGGUUUCAGAUUCAGUCCAGACUCCCAUGCAAAUAGGGAAUAGGCUCCACAGACAGAGCCUCUAUUUGAUAACCUAAUUAAUAGGCUGAUGGGGUAGGUUAUGCCCAUUGCUGGUAGGGGGUGGGGCAGGAUUAUUUGGGGACACAGGGAUUUCCAAAUGCCUGUCCGGAACAGAUGCAUGGAUAGCUGUUUAGAUAAAGCCUCUUACCAGACCUUUCUUCAGGCCAAAUGGAAUAUGACAAGACCCCCCCACAUGUUGGAUGUAUGAUUCCUGGGGGUGAGAGCCAUGGCCUAUUCUGAUAACAUCACGGGGCUUAGAAGGUUUGGGGUCCUCAACACACACACGGGCCCACAGAGUAAUUGAUCUACCACACAAUAAAGAUAAACCCCCACCCCCAAGUCCUCUAGUACAAUGAAGGGGUCUCAGCCUACCAUGGAAGGGAGGAGAGAGGAGCUAUGAGUGACAGCACCAUAAGGUAAGUUAGUAUGGGAAGAUUCGAGGUGUCAGGAGCACCCCUCAGAAGUUUAGGGACCAAGGAUAGGGGGGUCCUUUCUGGUCCUGGUCUCCCAAGGCCAACUACAAGAGGAACUAGCCAGGGUGAAGGCCAGGAUGAUCUGGAAUGAACCCGCUUAGAAAUUCACUUGGGAACCAGGUGGUGGUGGAACACAUCUUUAAUCCCAGCACUAAGGAGGGAAAGGCUGGUGGAUCACUGAGUUCAAGGUCAGCCUGGUCUACAGAGCAAGUUCCAGGACAACACAAAGAAACCCUGUCUUAAAAAACAAACAAACAGGAGAGAAAAAAAAAAAGAAAAG